rnacentral:rRNA from 1 species
GACGAACGCUGGCGGCGUGCCUAAUACAUGCAAGUCGAGCGGAAGUUGGAGAGCUUGCUCUUCAACUUUAGCGGCGGACGGGUGAGUAACACGUGGGCAACCUGCCCUGCAGAUCGGGAUAACUCCGGGAAACCGGUGCUAAUACCGAAUAGUUUUCGCCACCUCCUGGUGGCGUACGGAAAGACGGUUUCGGCUGUCACUGCAGGAUGGGCCCGCGGCGCAUUAGCUAGUUGGUGGGGUAACGGCCCACCAAGGCAACGAUGCGUAGCCGACCUGGGAGGGUGAUCGGCCACACUGGGACUGAGACACGGCCCAGACUCCUACGGGAGGCAGCAGUAGGGAAUCUUCCGCAAUGGACGAAAGUCUGACGGAGCAACGCCGCGUGAGUGACGAAGGUUUUCGGAUCGUAAAACUCUGUUGUGAGGGAAGAACGAGUACCAACUAACUACUGGUACCUUGACGGUACCUCACCAGAAAGCCACGGCUAACUACGUGCCAGCCGCCGCCGUAAUAC